GAACGCUGGCGGCGUGCUUAACACAUGCAAGUCGAACGGAAAGGCCCUGCUUUUGUGGGGUGCUCGAGUGGCGAACGGGUGAGUAACACGUGAGUAACCUGCCCUUGACUUUGGGAUAACUUCAGGAAACUGGGGCUAAUACCGGAUAGGAGCUCCUGCUGCAUGGUGGGGGUUGGAAAGUUUCGGCGGUUGGGGAUGGACUCGCGGCUUAUCAGCUUGUUGUUGGGGUAGUGGCUUACCAAGGCUUUGACGGGUAGCCGGCCUGAGAGGGUGACCGGCCACAUUGGGACUGAGAUACGGCCCAGACUCCUACGGGAGGCAGCAGUGGGGAAUAUUGCACAAUGGGCGGAAGCCUGAUGCAGCAACGCCGCGUGCGGGAUGACGGCCUUCGGGUUGUAAACCGCUUUCGCCUGUGACGAAGCGUGAGUGACGGUAAUGGGUAAAGAAGCACCGGCUAACUACGUG
rnacentral:rRNA from 1 species